rnacentral:tRNA from 1 species
GGGCGUUUAGCUCAGUUGGUUAGAGCGCUAUGCUCACACCGUAGAGGUCGCUGGUUCGAGUCCAGCAACGCCCA